AGAAUUUCGAAGAUUUACACGUUCGAUCGGAUUUUUUUAUAGCAAAUGAGGAUAUUUCCUGUACUAGCCGUGCUAGUAAGAGACUGCGUCAAUAACAAAAAAUAAUAUAACGAUGAGGAUCUUAAGGAUGAACAUUCUGGAGUCCUGAAUUGGAUUCCAUCACUAUAGUAUACAUAUAGGACGUGUAUACUUGUAUACAGUUCACUGAUCGACUCACGCGACAUUCGCAGCCUAUUUUCUCGAAAACUAUUAUAGCUAAAAAAAUUGAAUCAUACCUUUUUUGUAGACGAUUUAAUAAACUCUCAUGUUAAUAA